GACGAACGCUGGCGGCGUGCUUAACACAUGCAAGUCGAACGAAGUGGCGAACGGGUGAGUAACGCGUAAUCAACCUACCCUUCAGAGGGGGACAACAGUUGGAAACGACUGCUAAUACAGCAUACUGAAGGAGGGGAUUGCGUCUGAUUAGCUAGUUGGAGGGGUAACGGACCACCAAGGCGAUGAGCAGUAGCCGGUCUGGGAGGAGGAACGGCCCAAUUGGGACUGGGACCCGGCCCAGAAGCCUAAGGGAGGCAGCAGGGGGGAAACUUCCGCAAUGGACGAAAGUCUGACGGAGCAACGCCGCGGGAGUGAUGACGGCCUUCGGGUUGUAAAGCUCUGUUAAUCGGGACGCGGUACCGGAAUAGAAAGCCACGGCUAACUACGUGCCAGCAGCCGCGGUAAUAC
rnacentral:rRNA from 1 species